UCUCGCCUUUUGCGGGGUCGCCAACCUCGUUCACACCGAGGGGGUCACAGGUUCAAUCCCUGUCGCGUCCACCA
rnacentral:tRNA from 1 species